ensembl:lncRNA
UUUUUUGCAGUUGCAAGAUUUAAUAGAGUGAAAACAGAGCUCCCACAAAAUGGGAGGGGACCCAAAGGGGGUUGCUGUUGCCAGCUCGAAUGCCUGGGUUUAUAUCCCAAUCAUUGUCCCUCCCCCUGUGCUCUCAGGCGAUAGAUGAUUGGCUACUUCUGUACCUCCUGUUUUUGCCUGAUUAGCAUUUUAGUGAGCUCUCUUUACUACCUGAUUGGUUGGGUGUGAGCUAAGUUGCAAGCCCCAUGUUUAAAGAUGGAUGCAGUCACCUUCCCAGCUAGGCUUAGGGAUUCUUAGUCGGCCUAGGAAAUCCAGCUAUUCCUGUCUCUCAGUACCCCCUCUCAACAGGAAAAUCCAAGCGCUGCUGGGGAGGCUGGCUGAUGACCGCUCUAACUGCUUCCUGCUGAAUUGGGGCAUAGUAGGGGUCGUGCAGUUGAGAUUUCCUCAGGAGGGGUGCCUUCGAUAUCAUCAACAUCAGAGCAUGGGCCAGCAGGCCAGUCCAGGGGUCCACGGUAGAUCUUAGUCAUGGACUGUAUCUGGGGAUGCAUUUGAAGAACCAUUUGUAGUUUUACAGUUUCGAUUCUGGAAGAGGCAAACUUAACAAGGAGGUUAAAGAUACAGAGAUUGAAAUGUAUGGUCUGCAGUGCAGGGGAUUAUUUCUUUGGCACACUUCACAGGCCCUGACUAUCUGCUUGCUAGUUUUGAAAAGGUCUGGUACAGUAAAUAAUGAUUCAGCCAUCUGAUGGGUGCUAUCAAUGCCUAAGUGAAAGGUUUGGUGAAGAGUUUUAAGUAAUUUUCACUGGUUAGCUGUAGGCAAAAGUAUUUUUCCUUCUUUGCUGGCUAGCCAUUCUGAGGGGAGGAAACUAUGUCCUCGUGAGGUUCCCCAUUGUCAGGCCUCUGAGCCCAAGCUAAGCCAUCAUAUCCCCUGUGACCUGCACGUAUACAUCCAGAUGGCCCGAAGCAAGUGAAGAAUCACAAAAGAAGUGAAAAUAGCCUGUUCCUGCUUUAACUGAUGACAUUCCACCACAAAAGAAGUGAAAAUGGCCAGUCCCUGCCUUAACUCAAGACAUUACCUUGUGAAAUUCCUUCUCCUGGCUCAUCCUGGCUCAAAAGCUCCCCCACUGAGCUCCUUGUGACCCCCAACCCCUCUCUGCCAGAGAACAACCCCCCUUUGACUGUAAUUUUCCUUUACCUAUCCAAAUCUUAAAAAAUGACCCCACUCCAUCUCCCUUUGCUGACUCUCUUUUUGGAUUCAGCCUGCCUGCACCCAGGUGAAAUAAACAGCCUUGUUGCUCACACAAAGCCUGUUUGGUGGUCUCUUCUCACAGACAUGAAUGAAAACCAUCUAUGGCCGGGUGUGGUCCCGGCACUUCGGGAGGCCAAGGUGGGCAGAUCACGAGGUCAGGAGAUCGAGACCAUCCUGGCUAACACGGUGAAACCCCGUCUCUACUAAAAAUACAGAAAAUUAGCCGGGCGUGGUGGCGGGCACCUGUAGUCCCAGCUACUCGGGAGGCUGAGGCAGGAGAAUGGCGUGAACCCAGGAGGCGGAGCUUGCAGUGAGCGGAGAUCGCGCCACUGCACUCCGGCCUGGGCUACAGAGCGAGACUCCGUCUCAAAAAAAAAAAAUAAAACCAUCUAUUUCUCCUGCUGAGUAGUAGGGCUUGGUUUCCCAGAGGGGAUUACCCCAUACUAGGGGUCCUUCUAUAAGCAUUUCUAAUGGAGGGUCCCGCCUUGUGGCUCUUUUGGCUUCAAUAUCCACUUGGUGGUUCCCUUCUAUUUCCCUUUCCUUUCUGAUGACCCCGACAGUGUAAGACUGCCACCUCUUUAGGUUUCAGUACAGCCAAUAAUAAUCUCCUAAUGGCUUCCUGAUGUUUGACUGGUGUUCCUGCAGAAGUUAGGAAUUUCCUUUCUUUCCAUAUUGCUGCGUGGGCAUGGAGGACUAGGUAAGCAUACUUAGAGUCUGUAUAUAUAUUUACCCUUUUUCCUUCUCCUAAUUCUACUGUAUAAUGGCCCUUGCUUUUGCUAGGAUGUCUCUCCCUAACAAAGGAGUGGGGCUUUCAGGCAUAAUUAGAAAGCCAUGUGAAAGAAGUAAAGGUCCCCAGUCGCAGCUUAGCAGCUAAGAGAAGUAUCUAAUGACUGCAUGUCCUAGGACCCCUCGGAUAGUGACAGAUCUGGAGGACAGUUGUCUAGGACAGGACAGUAAGACAGAGAAGGCCACGCCAGUGUCCAGGAUACAGUUAACCUCCUGACCGUCAAUGGUCAAACAUACCCGGGACUCUGUGAGGGUGAUGGCAUGGGCUGGUGCUUGCCCCGGGCACCCUCAGUCCUGCUGCUGGAUCAUCUGGUUAGUGGCUUCUGACUCAGAGGACCUUAGUCCCCUGGGGCACUGGUCCUUCCAUGAUUCCCUUGACAUAAGGGGCAUGGAUGAGGGGGUGGCUUGUUUCUAUUCAGACGAUCUUUUUUCAAGUGUCCCUGUAGAUCGCACUGGAAGCAAGCCCUAUUAGGCACUCGCUUUUCCCAGCCUUUCCAUGUUCCAGAGCCUCAAAGUCCGCUUGCCUGAGGCCAUGACUAAAGCGGUGGCCUUUUUCUUAUCUCAUUUGUCCUGUUCUGCCUGCUCCUCCUGAUCUCUAUUAUAAAAAACCAAGGUUGCCAAGUUCGAUAGGGUUUCUAAGUUUUGCUCUGGGCCUAAGGCGAACUUAUGAAGUUUUUUUUUCCUAAUGUCUGCAGCUGACUGAGUGAUAAACUUAGUCUUUAAGAUUAGUUGGCCUUCAAUAGAGUCAGGUGACAGAGGUAUGCUUCCUCAAUGCCUUCCUUAGUCUCUCCAGAAAGGCGGCAGGAUUUUCUUCCUUUGCCUGUGUUAUAGUGGACAUCAUUGAAUACUUCAUAGGCUUCUUCCUAGUUUUCCUUAGUCCUUCUAGCACGCAAGUUAGUAAAUGUCUGCAGCACCAAUCUCCAUGUUCUGAUUCUGCGU